UACGAAGGGGGCUAGCGUUGCUCGGAAUCACUGGGCGUAAAGGGUGCGUAGGCGGGUCUUUAAGUCAGGGGUGAAAUCCUGGAGCUCAACUCCAGAACUGCCUUUGAUACUGAGGAUCUUGAGUUCGGGAGAGGUGAGUGGAACUGCGAGUGUAGAGGUGAAAUUCGUAAUGAUUACGUCAAGAACACCAGUGGCGAAGGCGGCUCACUGGCCCGAUACUGACGCUGAGGCACGAAAGCGUGGGGAGCAAACAGG
rnacentral:rRNA from 1 species